rnacentral:lncRNA from 1 species
GUGUUUGAGCAACAUUGAUGUGUUCUUGCAUGAGUUCGGGGAAUUGGGGCGCUGAAGGGCACUCAUGAAUAGGGUGGGAUGGGCUAGAAUAGAUAGUACACACUUGUGCUUGGGAAGAGUUUAUGUAAUACCCACCUAUCAUCAGUUGAUCAAUCUUAUGGGACAAUGCAUCUACCUUGCUAGACAGGUCCAUAGAAUGACUUAUUUCACAAAUGGUCCCUUUUCUUUGAGAACUCAGGGGUGCUUGACGA